UACGUAGGGGGCAAGCGUUGUCCGGAUUUAUUGGGCGUAAAGAGCGUGUAGGCGGCCAGAUAGGUCCGUUGUGAAAACUGGAGGCUUAACCCUCCAGCGGUCGGAUGGAAACCAUCUGGCUAGAGUCCGGAAGAGGAGAGUGGAAUUCCGUGGUGUAGCGGUGAAAUGCGCAGAUAUCAGGAAGAACACCCGUGGCGAAAGCGGCUCUCUGGAACGGUACUGACGCUGAGACGCGAAAGCGUGGGGAGCGAACAGG
rnacentral:rRNA from 1 species